rnacentral:rRNA from 1 species
UACGGAGGGUGCAAGCGUUAUCCGGAUUCACUGGGUUUAAAGGGUGCGUAGGUGGGCAAGUAAGUCAGUGGUGAAAUCUCCGGGCUUAACCCGGAAACUGCCAUUGAUACUAUUUGUCUUGAAUACUGUGGAGGUCAGCGGAAUAUGUCAUGUAGCGGUGAAAUGCUUAGAUAUGACAUAGAACACCAAUUUGCGAAGGCAGCUGGCUACACAAAUAUUGACACUGAGGCACGAAAAGCGUGGGGGAUCAAACAGG